UGCAUCUUCCCAAGUUGCUUCUGAGGAUGGUAGAUUGGUCCACUGAAUCAGCCACUGCACAACAGGUUCAUUGUUUCUUGGGAUCAUUCUCCUUUCCAAAAUUGCCUCUGGUGCUACUUUCAUGAUUCCUUUUUCAUCUACCAGCGGCAAAUCAGGUGUUGGCACUACUGUUGGACCAAUAUGCUUUUUGAGCUGGCUGACAUGAAACACUGGAUGUAAUGUGCAGUUGUCCGGUAAGAGUAACUUGUAUGCUGUAUUACCAAUCUUUUCUAGGACUCUAAAUGGUCCAUAAUACUUAGGAUGCAGCUUCAAGGAAUUGUGCAAGCUCAAAGAUGUAUGCCUGUAUGGUUGCAGCUUCAAAUAAACCCUAGAGCCAAUUUCCAAUUCUCUUUCAGACCUGUUUUGUCAGCCUGAUGUUUAAUUCUAGCUUGGGCUUUUGCAAGAUUGUCUCUGAUGAGUUGGUUGGCCAAUUGUCUAUUAUGCAGAAUUUCCCUGGCAUUGUCAUUGGGGCAAUCUGGCAAAACCACUUCUGCCACCAUUGGAGGAGGAAAGCCAUACAAAGCUUGGAAGGGAGUCAUGUUGAGAGAUGUGUGAUAAGAAGUAUUGUACCACCACUCAGCUGAUGAGAGCCAAUAGAACCACCUUCUAGGAGCAGUGAAACACAUGCACCUAAGAUAGUUUUCCAAGCACUGAUUUACUCUUUCAGUUUGUCCAUCAGUUUGUGGAUGAUAUGCUGAACUUAAAUGUAAUUUGAUGCCCAUUGAUUUGAAAAGUGAUUGCCAAAUGUGACUUGUGAAGAUUCUGUCUCUAUCAGUCACCAUAACCAUUGGUGGUCCAUGCAACUUGAACACAU
rnacentral:lncRNA from 1 species